rnacentral:rRNA from 1 species
UACGGAGGGUGCAAGCGUUGUCCGGAUUUAUUGGGUUUAAAGGGUGCGUAGGCGGCUUUUUAAGUCAGCGGUGAAAUACUUCAGCUUAACUGGAGGACUGCCGUUGAUACUGGAAGGCUUGAGUACUGAUGAAGUGGGCGGAAUUGAUAGUGUAGCGGUGAAAUGCAUAGAUAUUAUCAAGAACACCGAUUGCGAAGGCAGCUCACUAAGGAGUAACUGACGCUGAGGCACGAAAGCGUGGGUAGCAAACAGG